GUGAAAAUGCUCACGCGUUUAAUCACUUUCAUACCGCACCGGGGGUUAGUAUGAGGGUGAGCAAAAUAGGUCCGUUGCCGUCGGGACCGACAAAAUCACCAAAUUAGCUCACUAGAAAGGGGCGAGAGCAAACAUGCACUGAAAAAAAAUCUACCGUUUAAUGCUGAGCUAAGCAAACUACGUUCAGCGUGUAAAGUUUGUUUACGUUUCAUUGCGAGAAAAAGGUGAAAAUUAGGACUCGGGAAAAAACGGAAGAUGCUUGAGACUUCAAUUCCGGGUGCAACGGUAGCUGUAUUAGCUCCCGAAAGCACAGACAUGGCAUCAGCAACAACGAACAAAGCGAAUCCUACAAAUUUGGCUUGUUCCGAACUCUAGCUUAAUCUCGUAUUUGCAACUGAAAGAUCCCAAGGAUUUCAAUCUAGACGCUGUAAAUAGUCCCGAAAAAUGCUGCGCUCUAAAUCUCUGUAAUUGCUACAAAUCAAUAUGGUCUUAUUCGCCAUUCGGAUACUGUCUGCAUACCUCAAUGGAAAUCAAGUGCUGUAUCAUCUGUGCCGAAAGAAAUUGUGGCUCGUUGCACGUUUGGAAUAAAACAACCGACCACCCUUUUGGGUUUGAAAAUACAUUGUACUGGCCCCUCCGAAAUCGGAAUUUAACCAUAAACAGCUUCAUUCUAUUCCGGCUCAAAUCGGUUCGAGCAGAAAUGGUGCUAACACAGGGAAUUUCAGCGAACGAUUUAUAGAGAAAAUAUAUGUUCGAUUAUAGACUAUCAAAUGUUUAUUGGCGAUAUUUUUUAUCUAACAAAGUGUUGAAUAAAAUGAUGAAUUCAAGUUAAAAUAACAAAAUAGCAAUAUUCGCAUGUUACCUUAACUAGAAAUGUACUAUGGGUUUUAUGAUGACUGUCUGUGGUACCAUAUGCGAAGCUAUUUCUUUAAAGAUCUCUUAACAGUUUAGAUCAGAAGCUUUCCUAAACAGUUUAUAAGUGCUAUAACCAUUUGUGAACGUAUAUCGUUAUAAGGUUUUUUUGAAACUUUCAUCACUAAGGUCCAAAUUGAGUAUAAAUAUAAGGUUAAAUUUCAUGAAUAUUUCACGUACGAUAUUGUACAAUCUCUAAAAAUAUACAUAUAUCAGAACUUGUUCGUCGGAAUCUAAAUUAAGAAUUUAUCAGGCAAUUGUU